AUGAGCUCAUUGUGUCAGCCAUUCACCAGGGAAACUGCACAGCUCGCGCUGCAGAGAAAUAAAAAAUUACCCCUUCUAUCCUCCAUUUGGAGCACAAUCCUCCUCGUGAUGGUGCAAAGUUCUUGGGGGAUUCAGAGGAGACAGACCCAGGAAGUUCCAUGGCUUACUGUCGCAGAAAGGUAUGGCUUUCUCAGCAAAAGUUAUAAAAAUAUAAGUGCACGUUUUAAGAUUUCUAGAGGAACAUACCCACUGCAGAGCUGUGUUCUCGGAGAGCCUGCACCUGCAGAGGAUGAUGAUGAGCAUGGAGAGCUGGACAGAAGCGCCAGGAAUGAGAAAUCCCGUCCUUGGUGGCUGCCUGGGGACAGGAAAGCAGCAGGAGGAGGUGCUGGUGUUCAGCUGGCACUGCCAUGGGGGCCCCUGGCAGCAGCAGCUGUCACUGCUGUGCCUGCAGAUCCUGCACUUCAGGUCUGUAUCACAAGGAACAAUAUAAUAUUAAAAUAUUCUGCAGGAAUGUUAAUGUUCUGUGUCUUUCUGAUUGGUCACCAACACGAUUAAUAUUUUUCUUUUUAAGCAAAAGGGACUAAACAAUAGUUAGCCCCUUACCUAUUAAAUUUUCUUUUUAAGCAAAAGGGACUAAACAAUAGCUAGCCCUUACCUAUUAAACAGCAAAAGGGACUAAACAAUAGUUAGCCCCUUACCUAUUAAAUGACCAACUGUGGACUAAUGCUUUUCCCAGUAUUGGAAACAUCCAUUUUCACAUCCUCUCAGCAUGUUAAGCAAUACCAGGAAAGCAAUCUUGUUUACAAUUUAGAGCAAGAAUUUUCACCUCAAACCAGAAGCCUUGAUUCUUAAAACUGUAUACUGUAGGUUGAGGUACAGAAUAAAUUCUAAACCAUGGAUUUCAAGAGCUUUUUUCAGUUCCUUUUUCUCUCAAUUCUCUUUUCUGAAGAGCAACAUGGGUACACAGUCAGUUUAAUAAUAAUAAAUAAGUCUUGGUCAACCACUUCCAGCUUCUUUUUCAUUAAUUGAUGCAAAACUGUCAGCAUGUCACUGACUGCAGUGCUUGAUUUCCAAGAGGUCUGAAGGGGGAGGAAAGCAUUAUUGCAAAUGCAUUAUUGAAAGCAGGAAUGUCUCUGCUGAAUUUGAGAGAGAACCAGUUACUGAGGGCAGCUGCUCCUGCCAACAGCUGAAGUGCAGAUCCUUCAAAAGGAAACUGAAAGUUGUGUACAUCAUGGAAAAACAGGGGUUUAUCUCUUAAUUAACAAGGAAAAAAAAACAACCACCCAACUACCAAGGCUGUCUUUGUUUGAGUAAAAGAAUAAAUUAGACACUUGCUUUUUAAAGUGAAAUCUGCUUUCUGCAGGCGUGCAUUGGACCACAUUUAGGUUGCUCUUUGGGAAUGUGGGAC
rnacentral:lncRNA from 1 species